rnacentral:rRNA from 1 species
AUGGAAACUGAAACUGUGGUGAGAAAUUUGCCGGAGCUGCCGCAGGAUGUAUUGAUGGACAUAUUUUCACUCCUGGAGAUACCUGACCUCAUGCGUGCGGCCUCUGUCAGCUCCUCCUGGCGCUCCACGUAUACCAGCCUCUGCAGCCAGCUUAAGCUGUACAAACGGCCUCAAACGCCUUGCCUCCUCUACACCUCUGAAUCUGCUGGUGAGAAUGUAGCUUGUCUCUACAGCCUCGCAGAGAAGAGGGUCUACAUUUUAACUCUCCCGGAUCCACCCAUCCGCAGCAGGUAUCUUAUUGGGUCAUCGCAUGGUUGGCUAGUUACUGCGGAUGACAAGUCUGAGCUACACCUUAUCAAUCCGGUCACUGGCCAACAGAUUGCUCUCCCGUCGGUGGUCACCAUUGGUUAUCUUUCGUUUGCAAGGGUAGGAGAUUGUAAGUGGACCUUGCUGACGCCGGAUUGGGACUAUGAUCAAUGCAUCUACAUGGAUGGUCUAUUGUAUGCAUCCACAAGAGCCGGAAAAAUGGAUGCUUUUGACCUCACUGGUCCUACCGCCACGAGGAAUAUAAUUGCGGAUGAGAUUGCCAUUCACAGUUCUCCAUGGGGUGAUCUGCUGCAAGUUUGCAGGAAGGCUGAACUCAUAGAUGCGGGCUAUGAGGAGCCCAUAGUUAAAACAAAUAAAAUCUUUUUACACAAAGUCGAUAUGGAAGCACAAGAGCUUGUGGAAAUAAAUAGCUUGCAGCAUAACGUGUUGUUUCUUGGGCGUAACCAGUCUAUAUGCCUUAGUGCUGAAGAAUAUCCACAACUGAAGGCAAAUUGUGUCUAUUUCGCAGAUGCUGAGCAAUAUAAUUGGAUGUAUAAGACGAAUCCCCGGGAUAUAGGUGUUCUCAACCUUGAAGAUGGCAGUAGGGAGGAAAUUGUGUCCCCACUUUGGUCCAGCUGGCCAAGUCCCAUAUGGUUAACACCGAGUCUUACAGUGUUGAAUCUGUCAUUGUACGAAUAG